rnacentral:lncRNA from 1 species
AGAGUGUCUUAGGUCAUGUCUGGUUGGAAGGCUUCCCAGUAGCAGAAUGGGUGGCGAGCAGAUCAGAGCAGAAAGGAGAGCAGACCCAGGGCUCACUUGCCAUUCUCAGUGGCCUUAUAGGCUCUUAGGUUUCCUCAGCUCUCUUCUUUACUAAGGACCCCAGUAAUCAGUCCAUAAGGCCUGCUUUGCCACCUGUGAAUUCACUGAAAUUGUCACAAUUUUUGGAGGAUAAGUACACAUUUGCCAUGUGUACGCCAUUUGCCAUGAGAUAUAAGCAAUUGCCAAUGAUACCCACAGCUGUGCUGACUAAGGGGUAUUUAUGCUCUUUAAAGCAAUCCAUAUAUAGAAAGAGAUUGGGGGGGGGGGGGGGGGGAGGAGGGAACAAAAGAGAGGGGGUUAUUUUGUUAUUUUGACCAUACAUCAGACCACUUGAAAUGUUCUGAGGAUUGCAAGCACCUGUCCUUGUGUGCCCAAGUACCUGUCCUAAGGGAUUAACUCCUUCAAUUCUAACUCCCUGGGAGGUCUUAGAGGAAAUGGAGGAACAGACGGGAUAUAUAUAUAUAUAUAUACCUUGCUGCGUGGCUCCAUUCACCUACCAAGCUGCAUGCUUCAGGCAGGUUUGCAGGUGAAGCAGAGCCUGGGAUGUGAACUGAGGCAGAGCGGGCUUCUAGCUCUGCCUCCAGCAAU